rnacentral:rRNA from 1 species
CUACGGGGGGCUGCAGUCGAGGAAAUUUUACAAUGCUCGAAAGAGUGAUAAAAUGAGUCAGAGUGUUUCUCUUAGAGAAACUUUUUUCUGCUGUAAAAAGGCAGAAGAAUAAGGACUGGGUAAGAUCGGUGCCAGCCGCCGCGGUAAUACCGACGGUCCAAGUCGCAUCCACAUUUAUUGGGUCUAAAACAUCCGUAGCUUGUUUUAUAAGUUUCUUGUGAAAUCUUACAUCUCAAAUGUAAGGCGUGCAAGAAAUACUAUACCACUAGAGACCGGAAGGCGCAAAGAGUAUGGUUAAGGUAGCGGUAAAAUGUGUUAAUCUUAAUUAGACUAACAAUAGCGAAGGCGCUUUGCGAGUACGGAUCUGACAGUGAGGGAUGAAGGCUAGGGGCGCAAAAGGGAUUAGAUACCCUCGUAGUC